rnacentral:rRNA from 1 species
CAGUAGCCGCGGUAAUACGAAGGGGGCUAGCGUUGCUCGGAAUCACUGGGCGUAAAGGGUGCGUAGGCGGGUCUUUAGGUCAGGGGUGAAAUCCUGGAGCUCAACUCCAGAACUGCCUUUGAUACUGAAGAUCUUGAGUUCGGGAGAGGUGAGUGGAACUGCGAGUGUAGAGGUGAAAUUCGUAGAUAUUCGCAAGAACACCAGUGGCGAAGGCGGCUCACUGGCCCGAUACUGACGCUGAGGCACGAAAGCGUGGGGAGCAAACAGGAUUAGAUACCCCCGUAGUCCCUGUCUCUUAUAC